rnacentral:tmRNA from 1 species
GGGGGCGACAGGUUUCGACGUUGAAUCUGAAGAUCGGGGUUGCGGGUCGUCUUGCUCAGAGACGCUAAACGGGGCGAAAAAAUUAACUGCCAACACAUACCAAGAGCCAAUGGCUCUGGCUGCCUAAGGGCACCAUGACUUUGUAGUUCCUGUCCGUCGGGCUGCUUCGUCAUCACUAAGACGGAUGUUUCAAUCGAGGUAAGUCUGUUCCAAAGGUUGAAACUGGCAUCAAUUCAGAAUCGCUCAAGAGAUUCCGCUGUUUUACCGGAGCUUGCGAGUUAAAUUAAAGUAAAACUACGCCUGUAGACGCUUCGAUUGUUCGUUUGACGGACGGGAAUUCAAUUUUCCCCGCCUCCAC